rnacentral:rRNA from 1 species
UUGGUGCUUGCACUGAAUGGGAACCGGCGAACGGGUGCGUAACACGUAUGCAACCUACCUAUAACUGGGGAAUAGCCCGAAGAAAUUCGGAUUAAUACCCUAUAAUAUUUAGUCAUCGCAUGAUGAUUAUCUUAAAACUCCGGUGGUUAUAGAUGGGCAUGCGGCCUAUUAGUUUGUUGGCGAGGUAAUGGCUCACCAAGACUACGAUAGGUAGGGGGUCUGAGAGGAUGAUCCCCCACACUGGUACUGAGACACGGACCAGACUCCUACGGGAGGCAGCAGUAGGGAAUAUUGGACAAUGGACGAAAGUCUGAUCCAGCCAUGCCGCGUGCAGGAUGACGGCCCUAUGGGUUGUAAACUGCUUUUAUAUAGGAAGAAACCUUUUUACGUGUAGAAAGCUGACGGUACUAUAUGAAUAAGGACCGGCUAACUCCGUGCCAGCAGCCGCGGUAAUACGGAGGGUCCAAGCGUUGUCCGGAUUUAUUGGGUUUAAAGGGUACGUAGGUGGAACUUUA